rnacentral:rRNA from 1 species
AACGAACACUGGCGGCAGGCCUAACACAUGCAAGUCGAGCGAGGACUUCGGUCCUAGCGGCGGACGGGUGAGUAACGCGUGGGAACGUGCCCUUUGCUUCGGAAUAGCCCUGGGAAACUGGGAGUAAUACCGGAUGAGCCCUUUGGGGGAAAGAUUUAUCGGCGAAGGAUCGGCCCGCGUUGGAUUAGGUAGUUGGUGGGGUAAUGGCCUACCAAGCCGACGAUCCAUAGCUGGUUUGAGAGGAUGAUCAGCCACACUGGGACUGAGACACGGCCCAGACUCCUACGGGAGGCAGCAGUGGGGAAUCUUAGACAAUGGGGGAAACCCUGAUCUAGCCAUGCCGCGUGAGCGAUGAAGGCCUUAGGGUUGUAAAGCUCUUUCAGCUGGGAAGAUAAUGACGGUACCAGCAGAAGAAGCCCCGGCUAACUCCGUG